rnacentral:rRNA from 1 species
AUGCAGCCCAAAUCGGGUGGUAAAUUUCGUCCAAGGCUAAAUAUUUGCGAGAGACCGAUAGCAAACAAGUACCGCGAGGGAAAGAUGAAAAGGACUUUGAAAAGAGAGUCAAAGAGUGCUUGAAAUUGUCGGGAGGGAAGCGGAUGGGGGUCGGCAAUGUGCCUUGGCCGCAUGUGGAACGGUGGUAAGCUGGUCUGCUGGACGACUCGAGGUGUGGGUCGAAGGUGAUUGAGGUGGAGGUCGAAGUUGAUGGUUAUGAUACAGCCUUCGGAUAUGUGCUCGCCUUGAUCAUUGCAGGUAGUGCGCGCUUUAAGCGAUGUUAUUUAGCACCAGCGCGCUCAAGGCAACGACUUGUGGGCUCCCCAUUUGACC